UUCACGGAGAGUUUGAUCCUGGCUCAGGACGAACGCUGGCGGCGUGCUUAACACAUGCAAGUCGAACGAUGAACCACUUCGGUGGGGAUUA
rnacentral:rRNA from 1 species